rnacentral:rRNA from 1 species
UACGUAGGGACCAAGCGUUGUUCGGAUUUACUGGGCGUAAAGGGCGCGUAGGCGGCGUGGUAAGUCACUUGUGAAAUCUCUGAGCUUAACUCAGAACGGCCAAGUGAUACUGCUGUGCUAGAGUGCAGAAGGGCAAUCGGAAGUUCUGGAUGUAGCGGUGAAAUGCGUAGAUAUCAAGAGGGAACACCUGAGGUGAAGACGGGUUGCUGGGCUGACACUGACGCUGGAGGCGCGAAAGCCAGGGGAGCAAACGGG